rnacentral:rRNA from 1 species
GACGAACGCUGGCGGCGUGCCUAAUACAUGCAAGUCGAGCGGGGAUUAUGCUUGAUCGCUUCGGUGAGACGGCAUAUAUCCUAGCGGCGGACGGGUGAGUAACGCGUGGGUAAUCUACCUCGUAGUUCGGGAUAACAGGCCGAAAGGCUUGCUAAUACCGGAUGAGUUCAUGCUUAUGCAUAUAGGCAUGAAGAAAGGGCUAGCCCGCUAUGAGAUGAGCCCGCGUCCCAUUAGCUUGUUGGUGGGGUAAUGGCCUACCAAGGCAACGAUGGGUAGCCGGCCUGAGAGGGUGUACGGCCACACUGGGACUGAGACACGGCCCAGACUCCUACGGGGGCAGCAGUAGGGAAUUUUCGGCAAUGGGCGAAAGCCUGACCGAGCGACGCCGCGUGAGGGACGAAGGCCUUCGGGUUGUAAACCUCUGUCUGGGGGAUGAGAACGGACGGUACCCCGGACGGAAGCCCCGGCUAACUACGUG